UACGAAGGGGGCUAGCGUUGUUCGGAUUUACUGGGCGUAAGCGCACGUAGGCGGAUUGUUAAGUCAGGGGGGAAAUCCUGGAGCUCAACUCCAGAACUGCCUUUGAUACUGGCAAUCUAGAGUCCGGAAGAGGUGAGUGGAACUCCUAGUGUAGAGGUGGAAUUCGUAGAUAUUAGGAAGAACACCAGUGGCGAAGGCGGCUCACUGGUCCGGUACUGACGCUGAGGUGCGAAAGCGUGGGGAGCAAACAGG
rnacentral:rRNA from 1 species